GUUUUGAGUCAUGGUUGAACAGAGGGGCCUUUAUUUUGAGUGAAGAAACCCAGACUCUCUCAAGCCCGAAAGGUGUCUCUGCACCUCCUGCUACUCGUAUCUCUCCGCGCUGAAAGUGGUUCUCUCUCAUUUCUCAGGUCGAUUUCCGGUCUGAUCUUCGAUCAGGACAAUGAAUUUUCUGCAAAGGUAUACUACCCACAACGUGGUGACAGAACAAGUUCCUGUACACGAACCUUCUGCAGACACGCGUUAUGCAUCGAAGCCGUCAGCAACUCUGGAGGGUCUUAUAGCUGAAGAUCCAUUUCCCCAAUCUCCUACAGCUGAAGGUGGUGAUGGAGAGGCUCAGGGAAUUGGCGAUGAAAAUGGCACCGUUGGUGGUGUGAGCUCAAAAAACUGCUCUCUUGUUGUGGAAAACCACUCAGAUGUUUCUGAAGAAGAAGGAUGGAUUGCUAUUCCACAUGGACAGCUUCCUGAUGGUUGGAAUAAUGCUCCGGAUAUACGUUCAUUACGCUCCCUGGAUCGGUCAUUUGUUUUCCCUGGUGAGCAAGUUCAUAUCCUGGCAUGUUUGUCAGCAUAUAAGCAAGAUACAGAAAUUAUUACUCCAUUUAAAGUUGCUGCAGUCAUGUCUAAAAAUGGCAUUGGACAAGACCCUGAAAAACAAAAUGGGAAUGCAAAAGAAGGAACAAGUUCGGUAUCUGGAGAAGGUGAAGUGAGUACUGAUGGUCAAGUUAUAGACCAAAAUGGCAAUGAGCCAUCAAAAAAGGAGAUUGAUCUACAAAAGGAUAUUUCUGCCAGUGAAUCCAUUCUCAGAAUGGAAGAUCACAAAAGACAAACUGAAAUGUUAUUGCAAAGAUUUAGGAACUCUCACUUUUUUGUUAGGAUUGCAGAGUCAGGGGAGCCACUUUGGUCAAAAAAAGGUGCGUCUGAUCCGAAAUCUUCUGAACUGGAUGAUCAGAACUCCAGUGAAAAUGAAAAAAAAACUGCAAAUAACAUGUCCCAACUUGGUGCUCUUAUUGAUAGAGGAGAUUUUGAUGCCUGUGUGUCUGGUGGAGCAGCAAGAAAUGCUGUUAAAUGUUUCUCUCUCUCUAAUGGAGACAUAGUGGUAUGUGUCUGAGACCUCUAUGUUCUUCACAAUAUAGCUUUUUCAUCUGAUUGACUUUUCACAAAAAAGUGCAGCCUUGUAUUUUUACAAUGUUCUUCCACUGAUAAGUGACAACUACUAACAAUGUUUUGGAAGUUCUGAUUGCUUUCUUACACUCAAAACACACACUUUAAGUGUUGGUGCUGCUUGUUGUGCUUAAUAUCUCUGCCUGAAUGGAUGGUUUAUAAAUUGAACCAUGUAAAAUUCUUGUUUCUGCCUUUUGAAGUAGCUCCCAACUUCCCAUCGUUGUGUUUUAUUUUGUGUGAACUAGGUAGAGAUCUGGGUUUGCUUGGCCUUGUAUUAUUUUUCUUAAAAGUACUGCAUUUUGCAAACACAACUCAAAAUUAUGGUAUUCAAUCUUUGUCCCUUAGAUGCAUAGGAAGACUUCUGUAGCCAAAUAACAUCCAAGGAUGAUUGGAAGGCUUUGUUGCAUGUGUGUAUACAGAGGAGGAUGCCUUGUGGCCUUAUCUUUUCAAUUGUAAUUACUCUCUCUUCCUAUUUUUCUUGCUGUUUUAGAAUCUUUUUACAGUGGAUAGACUAGAAGAUUCCUUCUGCAGUCACUAUUUAGAAUUGAGUUUCAUGAAAGGUUUGUGUCUUUUGCAUCUUUUCCUAAGAAGCUAAGCUUCAAUCUAGAUUUGUUUAUUGAAUUUAUGUCUGAAUUUUUUGCAUCUUUGAUACAAGAAAAUGGAGACAAGUUCUGAAGUAUGUAGGAAAAAUUUUAAAGUAAAAUUCAAUCUUUUAUGACUUCAUAAUUGGUUUGCAUGCAAACACACUUUUCUCCAGACUAUCCAUUUAUAUCCAGAUUGACUUGCAACAUUUAAUGGUUUAUUAGCUUCUUGAUGGGCAUCCACAAAUUAUGGAAUGACAAUGUAAAUGUUUGUUGCAUUUGUGAAGAAAUCUGUAAUGUAUUGUAUAAUGUAGUGUUCCCAUUUGACAAUGUAUAGAAUGAUGUAGAGGUGUUUAUUGGCCUGGGAUCCUACUGAACUGACCCAUCAAAAACCCCAGGCUUGGAUAGAGGGGUUUGGUCCCUGGGUCUGGCCCUGCCUGAUUUAGGCUUGCCUUCUAGGUUGGCCAGGCCUGAAAUUAUCUUUGUUCAUUUUAACUAAUUGGUCAGGCUACCGAUUAUCAUUCUAUUUCUUUGUUUGGAAGGAUGCAGGUACUUUUACAAGUUAAUAUUGGUGUUAAUUUUAUAAGAGAUCCUGUUAUUGAGAUUCUUCAAUUUGAGAAAAAUCAUGAGAGACAUCUGUCUGUUGAGAACCAGGACAACUUUAAUGGCAUGAAUUAUGACCCUUAUGGUGAAUUGUUAAAAUGGUUGCUUCCUUUGGAUAACACUCUUCCUCCUCCAGCUCGUUCUUUAUCUCCUCCUCAUUUAGGUUCUGGUUCAGGAAUUGGCAGGGCUUCUCAAAAGUCUAACCCUUCUGGUUCUCAGCUCUUAUCUCAUUUUAGAAGUUACUCCAUGUCAUCAUUGCCUCAAAAUACUGCACCAUCUCCUCAACCUGUUAAAGUCCAAAGUUCUACACCCAGCUUUGACCUUGGAGACUUGAGCCAGUUCUCAUCUCAGAAGUUAUGGAAAAAUCAAAAAACAGGGGGUGAAGGUCUUUUAUCUUUCCGAGGUGUAUCGUUAGAGCGAGAAAGAUUUUCUGUUCGUUGUGGGUUGGAAGGAAUCUACAUUCCAGGAAGGCGGUGGUGGAGGAAACUUGAAAUAAUUCAACCUGUAGAAAUCCAUUCUUUUGCUGCUGACUGCAAUACAGAUGACCUUCUCUGUGUCCAGAUAAAGAAUGUUUCUCCAACAAGUAAUCCCGAUAUUGUGAUAUACAUAGAUGCUAUAACAAUUGUUAUUGAGGAGGCUUCAAAGCCUGGAUCACCUUCAUCAUUACCAAUUGCAUGCAUUGAAGCUGGAAAUGACUACUGUUUACCAAAUCUGGCCCUCAGGAGGGGUGAAGAGCACUCUUUUAUUCUUAAACCAGCAUGUUCUAUGCAUAAGAAUCUUAAAGUUAAUGGUGAAAAAAUUUCCCCGCCAUCAAGUUCUCAUCUUGCGAAUAACAUUGAGGGAAGGAGGAGUUUUUCAAAUGCCGAUCAGUAUGCAAUUAUGGUAUCUUGUCGAUGCAACUACACUGAAUCAAGGUUAUUUUUCAAGCAGUCAACUAGUUGGCAACCACGUAUCUCAAGGGAUCUUAUGAUAUCUGUUGCAUCAGAAAUGUCGGGUCAAUCUUCUGGACCUAACGAAAGAGCCUUUCAGCUUCCAGUUCAGGUCUUAACCCUUCAGGCAUCAAAUUUGACAUCUGAAGAUCUAACCAUGACAGUUCUUGCUCCUGCUUCAUUUACUUCUCCUCCUUCAGUGGGGUCCUUGAGUUCACCAAGAUCACCAAUGAGUCCACUUGUUAGUUUGUCUGAGUCUAUAGGUAGAAUAAAUGGGGAGAGACAUGGUGCUGCAACUCAGAGGCUGAGCUCUGUGCCUCCAUCAGAGAAUCCAAAACAGAGUGGCAAUGUUGGCAUUCACUCUGUUUCUUUUAAUGAGCUGUCUUCUCCAAUAUCUGAUGUCAUUUCUAGUAAUGGUUUGGGUUGCACACACCUGUGGCUCCAGAGUAGAGUUCCAUUAGGGUAAUGCAACACUCCCUUCUUCUUUUCUUUUUCAGAUACUGUUUGGACAGCAAAUUACAAUGUGUGAUUGCAUCAGAUGUGUUCCUGCUCAGUCGACAGCUACCAUCAAGCUUGAGUUACUUCCAUUGACUGAUGGCAUAAUUACACUGGACACGUUACAAAUUGAUGUUAAGGAGAAAGGUCUUACCUAUGUCCCCGAGCAGUCACUGAAGAUAAAUGCAACUACGAGCAUUUCCACUGGGAUUGUUUAGGAUGGAUUAGUGUAAUUUCUGUUUCUUGCCACACUUUGUAUUGAGCCAUGGAAAGGAAUUUGAAGGUCUGUCUCAUGCAGGACCUAGUUCUUGGUGUUCCUUGAUGUUGUGGGAAUGGUUCUGUUGCUUUUUUUUCCAAGUUAUAGCCUCAACUCAUGUACUGUAAAUCAUGACCUCAUAUAGCCCCGUAAUGGGAAGGAAAUAUACCCUUUAUGGGUAGAUUGAAUUGCGUGGAUCGUUCCAAUUUAAUACGUCAACGACACAGCACAGAAUUCGUUCUUGUUCGUGUAUUAUAUUCGCUGCUCUGUACACCCGUUUUUUCCUGUUACAUUUAUAGAUGCAAUAGGAGACCUUUUUGUUGUUUUUACCCGUUCCAUAAAGGAUUAGCAUCUGUAUGCCGGGACACAAGACUGGUGAUGUACAAAUGAAUUGUGUUGGUUUGG
rnacentral:misc_RNA from 1 species